AGUGAACGCUGGCGGUAGGCCUAACACAUGCAAGUCGAACGGCAGCACAGUGAGAGCUUGCUCUUACGGGUGGCGAGUGGCGGACGGGUGAGGAAUACAUCGGAAUCUACUUUUUCGUGGGGGAUAACGUAGGGAAACUUACGCUAAUACCGCAUACGACCUACGGGUGAAAGCAGGGGAUCUUCGGACCUUGCGCGAUUGAAUGAGCCGAUGUCGGAUUAGCUAGUUGGCGGGGUAAAGGCCCACCAAGGCGACGAUCCGUAGCUGGUCUGAGAGGAUGAUCAGCCACACUGGAACUGAGACACGGUCCAGACUCCUACGGGUGGCAGCAGUGGGGAAUAUUGGACAAUGGGCGCAAGCCUGAUCCAGCCAUACCGCGUGGGUGAAGAAGGCCUUCGGGUUGUAAAGCCCUUUUGUUGGGAAAGAAAAGCAGCAGGUUAAUACCCCGCUGUUCUGACGGUACCCAAAGAAUAAGCACCGGCUAACUUCGUG
rnacentral:rRNA from 1 species